UGCAUAUCAAUAAGCGGAGGAAAAGAAACCAACAGGGAUUGCCUUAGUAGCGGCGAGUGAACAGGCAAGAGCUCAGAUUUGAAAGCCUUUCGGGGCAUUGUAUUCUGAAGCCUUGGUCUCGGGAAUCGGUGCUUAAGUCUUCUGGAAAGGAGCGCCAUGGAGGGUGAUAGCCCCGUGAAGCACUAACCCCAUUUUGGGACCUUGGCGUGGAGUCGAGUUGUUUGGGAAUGCAGCUCAAAUGGGUGGUAUGCUCCAUCUAAAGCUAAAUAUCUGCGAGAGACCGAUAGCGAACAAGUACUGUGAAGGAAAGAUGAAAAGAACUUUGAAAAGAGAGUGAAAUAGUACGUGAAAUUGUUGAAAUGGAAGGGUAGGCCGCUAACCACGUAGAGUCGUGUCUAGGGGGAGGAUAAAAGCUGCAACCUAUAUCAUUCUUCGGAGUGGUAUAGGCGCGGUGCAUACUCCCACCCGGGCGCGAGGACCUAAGACUCUACUAAAUGGUGGUCUACCACCCGUCUUGAAACA
rnacentral:rRNA from 2 species